ensembl:lncRNA
AAAAAUCAGACAGUUUCCAUGAGGUGCACUUAUUUCUUUACAUUACUCUUUGUGUGUAUGUGUGUGUGUGUGUGUGUUUGUGUGUGUGUGUGUGCACGUAUAUUUAUAAAUAUAGAUAGAUAGAUAGAUAGAUAGAUAGAUAUGAAUAUUUUGGACAUUCAACAAACAGUCUUCUAUAGUCACAUCUUUAUUAUGAUUCAAUAUAGUAAUCUAUUUCUAUCACGAUUCAUUGAAAUGCUUCCCACACUGUCCUGGGAAGAGAUACAACAAUAACAGUUCCAACUUGUAGUGUGUGUAUCCAGAAAGACAUCGUAAUAAUAACGACCACUUUAGUAUCUGUGUCAAACUUAGCUUUCUAAUAAUGCAUUUACCCAAUUUAUUGAAUGAGGAUAAACAAAACCCCCUUCAGAGCACAUUCUGAAUAUAGUUUUAGUUACAUAUUUUAGUUAUCUUUUCUAAUCUUCUGUAACUAAGCAUAGACUGUACGGGUUUGCUUACUUACAUUUUAGUGACUUUAACUGCACUAUUAACAAAUAUAUAUUAAUAAAACAUCUCAGCUAACAACACUGUGCUGCACUUAAUUUUUUUUCCAGUGUUGCAAUUAUUUACCACUUUGAGCUGUACGCUAAUAAUACUGUAACAAAUUACUGUGUGUGGCAAUUACAGAACUGACAGACAAAGCUGCAAAUGUCAGGUAAAAAGAGCAUUUUUAUUCGUUUGUUGUCUUUAUUUUCCUAAUGCAUUAUUUUUUUCCCUUUAGUGUUUAAGUUUGAGUCGUGAGUCAAGUGUGACUUGAGUCAACAUCCCUAAAUCGAGUAACCAAUCUCUGCCAGGAAAGUCCAAGAUCCAUCAUCUUCCACCCAGCCUUGGAGCUGUGGAAGCACAGGUCCCCUUGGAGAUCAUUACUGAACAUCUGUACACCUUCUCCUCUGAGCUCUCUCGUCAACAAGGUGUUUCAGCCUGCAGACCCUCAGCACACAGGAUGGGUUUUUUUCUAUUUUGUUUUUCAUACCAUUUUAAAGACUGUUGUGUUGUUUAUGAGUUUAUCAAACUGUAUCUGUCUGUAUAUGUCUCUGUAUCUAACUGAGUCUGUAUAUGACUCUUUAUAUAAGCAAGU